rnacentral:rRNA from 1 species
ACCGUAUAACAAUCGAAACCGCAUGGUUUUGAUUUGAAAGGCGCUUUCGGGUGUCGCUGAUGGAUGGACCCGCGGUGCAUUAGCUAGUUGGUGAGGUAACGGCUCACCAAGGCCACGAUGCAUAGCCGACCUGAGAGGGUGAUCGGCCACAUUGGGACUGAGACACGGCCCAAACUCCUACGGGAGGCAGCAGUAGGGAAUCUUCGGCAAUGGACGAAAGUCUGACCGAGCAACGCCGCGUGAGUGAAGAAGGUUUUCGGAUCGUAAAACUCUGUUGUUAGAGAAGAACAAGGAUGAGAGUAACUGUUCAUCCCUUGACGGUAUCUAACCAGAAAGCCACGGCUAACUACGUGCCAGCAGCCGCGGUAAUACGUAGGUGGCAAGCGUUGUCCGGAUUUAUUGGGCGUAAAGCGAGCGCAGGCGGUUUCUUAAGUCUGAUGUGAAAGCCCCCGGCUCAACCGGGGAGGGUCAUUGGAAACUGGGAGACUUGAGUGCAGAAGAGGAGAGUGGAAUUCCAUGUGUAGCGGUGAAAUGCGUAGAUAUAUGGAGGAACACCAGUGGCGAAGGCGGCUCUCUGGUCUGUAACUGACGCUGAGGCUCGAAAGCGUGGGGAGCAAACAGGAUUAGAUACCCUGGUAGUCCACGCCGUAAACGAUGAGUGCUAAGUGUUGGAGGGUUUCCGCCCUUCAGUGCUGCAGCUAACGCAUUAAGCACUCCGCCUGGGGAGUACGACCGCAAGGUUGAAACUCAAAGGAAUUGACGGGGGCCCGCACAAGCGGUGGAGCAUGUGGUUUAAUUCGAAGCAACGCGAAGAACCUUACCAGGUCUUGACAUCCUUUUGACCACUCUAGAGAUAGAGCUUCCCCUUCGGGGGCAAAGUGACAGGUGGUGCAUGGUUGUCGUCAGCUCGUGUCGUGAGAUGUUGGGUUAAGUCCCGCAACGAGCGCAACCCUUAUUGUUAGUUGCCAUCAUUCAGUUGGGCACUCUAGCAAGACUGCCGGUGACAAACCGGAGGAAGGUGGGGAUGACGUCAAAUCAUCAUGCCCCUUAUGACCUGGGCUACACACGUGCUACAAUGGGAAGUACAACGAGUUGCGAAGUCGCGAGGCUAAGCUAAUCUCUUAAAGCUUCUCUCAGUUCGGAUUGCAGGCUGCAACUCGCCUGCAUGAAGCCGGAAUCGCUAGUAAUCGCGGAUCAGCACGCGCGCGGUGAAUACGU